GCCAGGCAUGGUGAUGCACACCUGUAAUCCCAGUGACUUGGGAGGCUGAGCCAGGAGGAUUGCAAGUUUGAAGUUAGCCUCAGCAACUUAGCGAGGCCUUAAGCAACUCAGGGAGACCCUGACUCAA
rnacentral:sRNA from 1 species